GACGAACGCUGGCGGCGUGCUUAACACAUGCAAGUCGAGCGGUAAGGCCCUUUCGGGGGUACACGAGCGGCGAACGGGUGAGUAACACGUGGGUGACCUGCCCUCAGCUCUGGGAUAAGCCUGGGAAACUGGGUCUAAUACCGGAUAUGACUCCAUGACGCAUGUUGUGGGGUGGAAAGCCUUGUGCGGCUGAGGAUGGGCCCGCGGCCUAUCAGCUUGUUGGUGGGGUGAGGCCUACCAAGGCGACGACGGGUAGCCGGCCUGAGAGGGCGGCCGGCCACACUGGGACUGAGACACGGCCCAGACUCCUACGGGAGGCAGCAGUGGGGAAUCUUGCGCAAUGGGCGAAAGCCUGACGCAGCGACGCCGCGUGAGGGAUGACGGCCUCGG
rnacentral:rRNA from 1 species